rnacentral:rRNA from 1 species
AUUGAACGCUGGCGGCAGGCCUAACACAUGCAAGUCGAGCGAGCGGCGGACGGGUGAGUAAUGUCUGGGUAACUGCCUGAUGGAGGGGGCUAACUCCUGGAAACGCUAGCUAAUCCUGCAUACCAUCAAAUCUGCCCCGAUGGGAUUAGCUAGUAGGUGGGGUAACGGCUGACCAAGGCGACGAUCCCUAGCUGGUCUGAGAGGAUGACCAGUCACACUGGAACUGAGACACGGGCCAGACUCCUACGGGAGGCAGCAGUGGGGAAUAUUGCACAAUGGGCGCAAGCCUGAUGCAGCCAUGCCGCGUGUGUGAAGAAGGCCUUCGGGUUGUAAAGCACUUUCAGCGGGGAGGCGUUACCCGCAGAAGAAGCACCGGCUAACUCCGUGCCAGCAGCCGCGGUAAUUC